rnacentral:lncRNA from 1 species
CAAAAUCUACUAUGCGCAACCAAAUUGGGCCUAUUGCAAUGCUUUCUUGUCGUUGCGCAAGGGAUAAAAGUUAGUAGUGGAGACGUUCCUCGGCACCGUUAAAGCAAUCAUCUACAUUGGAACCGGAAGAGUCCACAUGCACUUCCCCUCUGAGAAGGUACACCGCUAUUUUACUAACCUUAACUAUAUAGUUGAAGACUCUAAGCAGGUCAGGACAAGAAGAAGAUGAUGCAACCGCAACCAGAGGAGGCGCCGCCGGAACCACCGACUACGCUAUCCAGCGAAUCCCAGGACGAUUGAGAAAACGGAGAGUCCCAUUCGGAGGACUUAAAAACAUGGAAUGCCUUGCCAAGAGGUAAACUUGGUAGUUAUCCUUUUCCCUUCAAUUAUUUUAAAUAGUUUGCUUAGUUAAUUAAGUUCAUAUCAUCUCAAAUAGAAAAGAAAAAUAUUUAUUCAUUGCACUGCAUCAUAAAAUCUAAAGCCCCAUGUGAGCAGACUUAUGGUUUAAAACCCAUAGGUAUAUUGACUGUGGUGGCAUAAAAUAAAUAUGUUUUCAUCUUACAAUAAAAAUAUAAAAAUAAGUUUAUGAUCCUACUAAAGAGAGUAACAUUUAUUGAGGAGGCUCAACAUGACAAAGGCUAAGAGAUUUAUGCUAACACUUAAUUAGUUCCACAAAGCUUUGUUGUCUAUUUGAGCUCCACAUAAUUCAAGUAUCAAAGAAGACUAGCAGACGAAGGACAUCCUAAUCGCUGUUAGGGUACUGCCGACAUUCAAAUAUACCUCCGUCACCUGCUAGCUACAUCAGAAGAAAUUACGUCAAAAUCCAGCUUGAGGGAGAGCACCCCCAUUUAUCCAGCUAAGUGUUUCUACUCACGUUUAUACUUUACUCAAAUAAUAAAAAGAUGCAUAAUCAUGAAAACACAAAUAAAAAUUUUUGUGCUUAUAUAUCUUUGCUUAGUUUGCUAAAUAAAUAAAUCAAGUGUCUAGGACAAACUGAACCUAAAUAAUAAACUCUUACAUGGAUAUGAUAAACAGUUGCUCUUCCAUGUACCUAGUUUUCAAGUUUGAGCUCUCUCUCAAGUUUAGGCAUGACUGUUAUAAUUUAAACCUGCUCUAAACCUAAACUUGUGGGAAGAGUACUUGAUCAAAAGUCUAAGUCGUUAACAGAUAUGACAUGGGAAGGUUGAGCUGUUGUUUAUCUGUUCCUAGAGAUACUAGAAUUCUGGAGAAUUUUAUCUUUGAAAAUCUUUAAAAUAACACAUGAUAAGUUCCUGUAUGAUGAGAGUUUAAAUUCCUACCACAGCCAUAUAUACAAGCUUGCUAGACUUUGAGCCACACAUUUACUUUUUACUGCUUAUGUGCAUUGAGUGUGGUCAAGCUGUGUAGACCCUUAGGAGCUUGUCAUGCGGUUAAAAUCAAGAUUCACUUGCACGUUGACUCAUACAUGCUACUUCUACUCUGGAAGUACGCAUCCACAUACAUCCACUCAAUUCCAUCUCCACAUUCUCCUAAAAUUAUUCUACUCCUAAUCCGGGAGAGAAUAGCCAAAAACAUUCUCCUAUUUCUGUUUUUCCCUAUGAAAUAAAUGCUCGAGUUAUCUUGGUUACUACCACUUGCUAUAUUAUUUCAGGAGAUGAGUGCUCUAAAAAAAGAAGAAAGAAAAAGGGAAAAUAUGAGGAAAUAAAAAGGGGCAAGUGCACGGAACCUCGAAGAAAAGAAAAAGUGAGACGAGAGGUAAAAAUGGACAAGUGUCCGACAGUAGAAUUAGGGGUACAAGAUACCCACCUGAGAAAAAAGAAAAAGAAAAUAUAGAGCAUCUCAUUCUCCUCAAAAAGCUUCAAAGUGCAAGAAAGGUAUGUAUCCCCUCAAAAGAGCAAAAGUAGAAUUAGACUUUCACCAUUGUUAUCACCAUACACCAUUCAUUCGCCACACAUGCACAUCUUGAUUUGACUUAUUGACUUGUUCUUCUGGAUCCAUGGUUUGACUAUGCAAUAAAUGUCUUGUAAGUAUGUAUUAUUUUUCUCCCACCUAUGAGCUCCAGAUAUCAAAACCUUAUUAGAGUAGGGUGAGAGAGAAGGCAAUAUUACUAUGCCUCAUACCAAAAAUACUACAUACUUUGAGAGAAGGCAUAUACCAUUAUUGCCUUGGUAAGGAUCCAGAAUACCACAAAAAAGAGAUUUGAGAGAGUCAUACAAGGAAUCUCUGAGUUUUAUUUGAAAAUCUGCAAAAACUCCAGAGCUAUAGCUGAUCAAGAAUAAGAGACAUGGCGCUUGACUAGACUGUUCUAUCUUUUAACUGCUCAAGACACAAGUGACAGUUGCAAGCCCCAUGGUGAAGGGUAAAGUGAGUAAGUUUUAAGUCUUAACAGUUUACUCUAACUUAGAGAUGAGAUCUUGUUUGAACGCAUGUGUACUUUUAAGGCAUGAAACCACUGCAGAAACUCUUGAGUGCAUCCUUGCUCAGGGACGAGCAAGAGGUAAGCUUGGGGGAGUUGUUGACGGUCCUUAAGUACAAAAUAUAAUCAUCAAAUAAAUAAAGAAAAGGAUCCAAAUGCAACCAACACCAGACUUAGGGUUUUAUCUGGUAGAAUUCCACGAGUUUUGGUGUUUGUCUAUCUCUGCAGGGGGAUCAGGAAAUAUUGAAGAAAGGCCCACAUGUUGGGUUUACAUAGAGAUAUUAACGUGCCACACAAUUUUCUAUCAUCUAGA